rnacentral:rRNA from 1 species
UACGUACCGUCCAAACGUUAUUCGGAAUUACUGGGCUUAAAGGGUACGUAGGCGGCGCUGUCAGUCGGGUGUGAAAUCCCAGGGCUCAACCCUGGAACUGCGCCCGAUACUGCAGUGCUUGAGGGAGACAGAGGUAAGCGGAACUGAUGGUGGAGCGGUGAAAUGCGUUGAUAUCAUCAGGAACACCAGUGGCGAAAGCGGCUUGCUGGGCUUCUUCUGACACUGAGGUACGAAAGCGUGGGGAGCGAACAGG